rnacentral:rRNA from 1 species
AGUGAACGCUGGCGGUAGGCCUAACACAUGCAAGUCGAACGGCAGCACAGUAAGAGCUUGCUCUUACGGGUGGCGAGUGGCGGACGGGUGAGGAAUACAUCGGAAUCUACUUUUUCGUGGGGGAUAACGUAGGGAAACUUACGCUAAUACCGCAUACGACCUACGGGUGAAAGCAGGGGAUCUUCGGACCUUGCGCGAUUGAAUGGGCCGAUGUCGGAUUAGCUAGUUGGCGGGGUAAAGGCCCACCAAGGCGACGAUCCGUAGCUGGUCUGAGAGGAUGAUCAGCCACACUGGAACUGAGACACGGUCCAGACUCCUACGGGAGGCAGCAGUGGGGAAUAUUGGACAAUGGGCGCAAGCCUGAUCCAGCCAUACCGCGUGGGUGAAGAAGGCCUUCGGGUUGUAAAGCCCUUUUGUUGGGAAAGAAAAGCAGCAGGUUAAUACCCCGCUGUUCUGACGGUACCCAAAGAAUAAGCACCGGCUAACCUCGUG